CCAGGAUUUCAGUUUUGUUUUUAAAGGUGUUUGUCCUGGUGCUGGAUUGACAAAUGUUUUCCAUCUCUCACUUUGUUCAGGCCGCAGCCCAAGUUAUGGAAGUGCAAGUUUCUCUGGUGAGAGUGAGCUGUUUUCCUCAUUCAACUGGGAUGAUAAGAAUAUUCGGCGGGUUUUCAUUAGGAAGGUCUACAUCAUCCUGAUGAUUCAACUCUCCUUCACGGCUGGUGUUAUUGCUCUGUUCACCUUCUGAUGGCACAGACUUGGCUUGCUCCCAAUCUUCUCUCAAUGGGUCUGGAGUUGGUUGCUAGAAGUUACUCCACUGAACUGGCUCAGCCUGUCACAAACCAGGCUUCCAAUUGUCUGCUGCCAAACCUUACACAGCCGUACCCACCCUACUGUGAUAGUUAGCUUACUGA